UACAUGUACGUAACAUCAAUCAAAGUCUGAUUAUGACAGGCUAAUGAAAAAUCAUAUACAUUUCUCUUUUAUCCAAAUGCAUGUAUUUUAUAUACACUGAGUAGCUUAUGACCAUAGAUUACAUGUAUUCCAUACAUACUGGUACUGGUAUGCCAUGAGCUAUGAUCUUGCCUAAAUUUUCUCUAAUUUCGACUAAAUCCACAUCCCGUCAGAGUAAUAUGCAAGGGGAUUUAGACACUGUGUACCAUGAAGAAACAAUUCAAUUCUUCAAUUCUACUUUUAUAUCUAGGGUCACAUACUUUCCCUCAGAGUUGCAGUAUUUUCGCUGGACCCUGUAGGUUUUAACCUGAAUCUCUUCAGUACCCCCCCCCCCUCCAAUGUAUAUGCUAGGCAUAAUGCUGACACCUACAUCAUGCAUAUCUUUUUUUUCAUUACGCACUCUGCUACACUCGCAAUGUAUAAUAACAUAUUCCAUUCAUUUUUAACACGUGUACGUACGCAAUCCCCUACCAAAUGUCACUUCAAAUACAGGACAUCUCUAUCUUUAAAUAAAUUUGAGCUGUACUUAAGUGCGAAACUGUCCCUUGCUACCAUGAAACUUAUAUUUUGCUUUAAAACAUAAACCAACAAUUCUUAAUUGUAAUUUCUUUUCAUCUUUAUUGACAUCCCAAUAUUUAGUGGGAAGUUCCCAGGUAUCGUCCGCUAGUGACAGUCUGCUGGCAAAUCCAGACAUGCGAUGGAAGGAUGCUGAUGUGAAGGACACAUGGACACCUAAUCCAAGAACUAUGGAAUUUCAUUCAGAGUGACAACCUGACAUUCCGUUGAUAUGGGACCCGAUUAUUCAGAGAACUGCAGAUUUUAUGAAGCUGUUUUUGACAGAAGAUUUGGUUUUCUCCAUCUGUAUUGCCACCAACCAUUAUGCUGAGAUGGUCAUAUCUCGGGGGAAGGAUUGUCAUUAUGCUUCCCAAAGAAGUUCGCAUCCUCUCACUGAAGAGGAAUUGUACAGAUUUUUGUGCAUUAUCUUAUACAUGUUUGCUGUGAAGUUCCAGUCGAUAGACAGAUAUUGGUCAAUGCAUGCCCCUAUCGGAACAACCCAGUACAGUGUAUCAAGAAUGAUGUCUAGAAAUAAGUUUUAAGAGGUUGAAUAUCAGAACAUUUUUGUUAAAUAUGAUGCAAGUACAUUUAAAUCUAGUGAUUGAAAGUAAGUACUUGGACAUUUGUAUACCUUGAACUUGCAGAGGAAAAACGGGUAGUACUUUUUGAUAACAUUUGAUAAGGUGCUGUUGCUUAGCAACCAAAUAUAUUUGAAUGCAAAAAUUAAAUUAUUUUAGAUUAACAAUAAAGAUCUUUGUUUUAAUAUUGCAAUAUUUAUUAUAUUUAGUGGAACAUAAUGGCAAAAUGUCAUAUUAUUAGAAAAUGAUGAAUAUGUACAAUGUAUAUAAAGUACAAAGUUUCCAUUUUCUGACCUUUGACCUUAUUUCUCUUCAUCAUAUUUUUGUUAAAAACCUUUUAAAAUGAUUAAAAUUUAUUUAAAGAUUAUAUUUCUAAAAUAAUGUGACAUUUACUAAUCAUCAUUCAAUGUAAUUAUGUUUAAAUUGUGUCGAAUGUAUGUAGAAAGGCAAAUUAUGGUCAAAAUUGUACUAUGAGUGUUGUUACUUAGCAACCAAAAAUAUUUGUUUGUCAAUAAAAUUGAUUUAUUUGAUUGUGAUGCUUUUG